rnacentral:rRNA from 1 species
GAAUUGAAGAGUUUGAUCAUGGCUCAGAUUGAACGCUGGCGGCAGGCUUAACACAUGCAAGUCGAACGGUAGCAGGAAGAAAGCUUGCUUUCUUUGCUGACGAGUGGCGGACGGGUGAGUAAUGCUUGGGAAUCUGGCUUAUGGAGGGGGAUAACUGUGGGAAACUGCAGCUAAUACCGCGUAUUCUCUGAGGAGGAAAGGGUGGGACCUUAGGGCCACCUGCCAUAAGAUGAGCCCAAGUGGGAUUAGGUAGUUGGUGGGGUAAAGGCCUACCAAGCCUGCGAUCUCUAGCUGGUCUGAGAGGAUGACCAGCCACACUGGAACUGAGACACGGUCCAGACUCCUACGGGAGGCAGCAGUGGGGAAUAUUGCGCAAUGGGGGGAACCCUGACGCAGCCAUGCCGCGUGAAUGAAGAAGGCCUUCGGGUUGUAAAGUUCUUU